AAGCUCGUAGUUGAAUUUCGGGGUUCUACCGUCGGUCGGGCUACCAAGUCUGUACUGGUGUGUAAAAUUUCUACCUUCUGGAGAACCAUCAUGUUAUUAAUUUAGCGUGGUGGGAAACCAGGACCUUUACCUUGAAAAAAUUAGAGUGUUCAAAGCAGGCUUAUGUCUGAAUACAUUAGCAUGGAAUAAUAGAAUAGGACGGUGGUCCUGUUUUGUUGGUUUCUGAAUCACCGUAAUGAUUAAUAGGGAUAGUUGGG
rnacentral:rRNA from 1 species